CAGGUGCUGCAUGGCUGUCGUCAGCUCGUGUUGUGAAAUGUUGGGUUAAGUCCCGCAACGAGCGCAACCCUUAUCCUUUGUUGCCAGCGAUUAGGUCGGGAACUCAAAGGAGACUGCCAGUGAUAAACUGGAGGAAGGUGGGGAUGACGUCAAGUCAUCAUGGCCCUUACGACCAGGGCUACACACGUGCUACAAUGGCGCAUACAAAGAGAAGCGACCUCGCGAGAGCAAGCGGACCUCAUAAAGUGCGUCGUAGUCCGGAUUGGAGUCUGCAACUCGACUCCAUGAAGUCGGAAUCGCUAGUAAUCGUGGAUCAGAAUGCCACGGUGAAUACGUUCCCGGGCCUUGUACACACCGCCCGUCACACCAUGGGAGUGGGUUGCAAAAGAAGUAGGUAGCUUAACCUUCGGGAGGGCGCUUACCACUUUGUGAUUCAU
rnacentral:rRNA from 1 species